rnacentral:rRNA from 1 species
AGGCUUUGAUCCUGGCUCAGAUUGAACGCUGGCGGAAUGCUUUACACAUGCAAGUCGAACGGCAGCACGGGUGCUUGCACCUGGUGGCGAGUGGCGAACGGGUGAGUAAUAUAUCGGAACGUACCCAGUAAUGGGGGAUAACUAGCCGAAAGGUUAGCUAAUACCGCAUACGCCCUGAGGGGGAAAGCGGGGGACCGUAAGGCCUCGCGUUAUUGGAGCGGCCGAUAUCUGAUUAGCUAGUUGGUGGGGUAAGAGCCCACCAAGGCGACGAUCAGUAGCUGGUCUGAGAGGAUGAUCAGCCACACUGGAACUGAGACACGGUCCAGACUCCUACGGGAGGCAGCAGUGGGGAAUUUUGGACAAUGGGGGCAACCCUGAUCCAGCCAUUCCGCGUGAGUGAAGAAGGCCUUCGGGUUGUAAAGCUCUUUCGCAAGGGAAGAAACGAUACGAGCGAAUAACUCGUGAUUAAUGACGGUACCUGUAUAAGAAGCACCGGGUAAAUACGUAG